AUUGAACGCUGGCGGCAUGCCUUACACAUGCAAGUCGAACGGCAGCACGGGAGCAAUCCUGGUGGCGAGUGGCGAACGGGUGAGUAAUAUAUCGGAACGUGCCCAGUCGUGGGGGAUAACGUAGCGAAAGCUACGCUAAUACCGCAUACGAUCUAUGGAUGAAAGCGGGGGAUCGCAAGACUCGCGCGAUUGGAGCGGCCGAUAUCAGAUUAGGUAGUUGGUGAGGUAAAGGCUCACCAAGCCGACGAUCUGUAGCUGGUCUGAGAGGACGACCAGCCACACUGGGACUGAGACACGGCCCAGACUCCUACGGAGGCAGCAGUGGGGAAUUUUGGACAA
rnacentral:rRNA from 1 species